AUGAAAGAGACAAGUAUCGAGCUAAAAAUGUACAGCGUACUUGGGAAUCAGCAGACCGUACGGCGAGCUCCCCAAUUCCUAUUUCUUGGCUUGUUCAGUCAUGGUAGAAACCGGCGGGAACCGUGCUUAUUAUGUGACUAUAGUAGGGCGGUUGGGAUGUGUGUUGGCUGCUCUCUUCAUCGCAGUCUUUAUGGCUCCAACAAUGCCAUCACCGCCAAGUACUUCACAUUUGACAGUUGUGAGGCUCGGGAGGUUCUCUAUUCCAAAGUCCAGACCGUCAGCUUCAACCUCGUACAAACUCUUAAGCACAAGUUUUUCUAG
rnacentral:rRNA from 1 species